UACGACGGGGGCUAGCGUUGCUCGGAAUCACUGGGCGUAAAGGGUGCGUAGGCGGGUCUUUAAGUCAGGGGUGAAAUCCUGGAGCUCAACUCCAGAACUGCCUUUGAUACUGAAGAUCUUGAGUUCGGGAGGGGUGAGUGGAACUGCGAGUGUAGAGGUGAAAUUCGUAGAUAUUCGCAAGAACACCAGUGGCGAAGGCGGCUCACGGGCCCGAUACUGACGCUGAUGCACGAAAGCGUGGGGAGCAAACAGG
rnacentral:rRNA from 1 species